UGGGGAAUUGUUCGCAAUGGGCGCAAGCCUGACGACGCAACGCCGCGUGGAGGAUGAAGAUCUUCGGGUCGUAAACUCCUGUCGAGCGGGAAGAAACCCGCGGGGGUGAAUAAUCCCUGCGGCUGACGGUACCGCUAAAGGAAGCCCCGGCUAACUCCGUGCCAGCAGCCGCGGUAAUACGGGGGGGCAAGCGUUGUUCGGAAUUACUGGGCGUAAAGGGCUCGUAGGCGGCCAACUAAGUCGGACGUGAAAUCCCCAGGCUCAACUUGGGAACUGCGUCCGAUACUGGAUGGCUUGAAUUCGGGAGAGGGAUGCAGAAUUCCAGGUGUAGCGGUGAAAUGCGUAGAUAUCUGGAGGAAUACCGGUGGCGAAGGCGGCAUCCUGGACCGACAUUGACGCUGAUGAGCGAAAGCCAGGGGAGCAAACGGGAUUAGAUACCCCGGUAGUCCUGGCCCUAAACGAUGAAUGCUUGGUGUGACGGGUAUCGAUCCCUGUCGUGCCGAAGCUAACGC
rnacentral:rRNA from 1 species